CUGAUGGCUCGGACUCAGAUGAUGAUCCUCUGGGUCUUCUUCAGGAUCCAAGUGAUCCUGACUACCGUCCAAACUACUCAGACGAUGAAGAGGCCCCAGGAACUGGCGCAGCACCUGAUGAAAGUGAAGCAGCC